CUCCAGUAUCGUAGCCAAUGAGGUUUAUCUGAGGCACAAUUAUUGCUAAUUGAAAACUAAAAAAAAAAAAAAAAAAAAAAAAGAAUGGCCACUCUUUUUUUUUUGUUUGUUUUGUUUUUGAGACGGAGUUUCGCUCU
rnacentral:snRNA from 13 species